CGUGUAGGCGGUUAUGUAAGUCAGAUGUGAAAUCCUUCCGCUUAACGGAAGAAGUGCAUUUGAAACUGCAUGACUGGAGUACGGGAGAGGAGAGUGGAAUUCCCGGUGUAGAGGUGAAAUUCGUAGAUAUCGGGAGGAACACCAGUGGCGAAGGCGGCUCUCUGGCCUGAUACUGACGCUGAGACGCGAAAGCGUGGGGAGCAAACAGGAUUAGAUACCCUGGUAGUCCACGCCGUAAACGAUGGGCACUAGGUGUAGGAGGUAUUGACCCCUUCUGUGCCGAAGCUAACGCAUUAAGUGCCCCGCCUGGGGAGUACGGCCGCAAGGUUAAA
rnacentral:rRNA from 1 species